rnacentral:SRP_RNA from 1 species
GCUGGGCGUGGUGCCAUGCGCCUGUAAUCCCAGCUACUCAGGAGGCUGAGACAGAAAAAUCGCUUGAACCCGGGAGGUGGAGAUUGCAGUGAGCCGCGAUCGUGCCACUGCACUCUAGCCUGGGUAACAGAGCGAGACUCUGUCUCAA